rnacentral:rRNA from 1 species
UACGUAGGGUGCAAGCGUUAAUCGGAAUUACUGGGCGUAAAGCGUGCGCAGGCGGUGAUGUAAGACAGAUGUGAAAUCCCCGGGCUCAACCUGGGAACUGCAUUUGUGACUGCAUCGCUAGAGUACGGCAGAGGGGGAUGGAAUUCCGCGUGUAGCAGUGAAAUGCGUAGAUAUGCGGAGGAACACCGAUGGCGAAGGCAUCCCCUGGGCCGUACUGACGCUCAUGCACGAAAGCGUGGGGAGCAAACAGG